rnacentral:lncRNA from 1 species
AAAAGUUCAGGGGGUUUUCUAAAUAUUGAUCAAGGCACAAAGAUCUUGAGGAAUUACACAGUUUGACAGGGGCUAAGACGCAAAAUCGCCUUAUCUUCUACCUCCAUCCUUCGAUUCUUCUGGUUCCUCCCGAUUCAUUCCGCCGGCGGCGGCGACCGAGCCUCGGCGGCGCCAGGCGCACGGGCCAGGGGAAGGGCGCAGGAGGCGGGGCUCGGGCGAUGGGCAGCAAGCGGCGCUGGGUGGACGGCGGUGUUGGUGGGCAGCAAGGUGCGGCGCAGCAGGGAAAGGGAGCAGCGGCCGGGCACUAGGAAGGCGCGGCGGCGCAAAGGAAAAUCGGCAGCAGGAGGCCCCAGGAGGUGCGGGCGAUUUCUAGGGGCGAUGGAGGGAGUGGAAGCGGCGCCAGGAGGUGAAGAGCGGGCGGCGCCAUGAAUGGUGGGUGGAGGCGGUUACUGGAAGAGGAAGGAAAAGGGGCGCGAGUGGGGGAGGCGAUGCGACGCCAGAGACCUGAAGGGGCGCCGG